AUAUUACAGAACUACGAAAAAGAAUACGUUACACAACAAGAGAGAAUUUAGAGAAGUUUUUAUGGUCACCAUUUCAGUUGGUAGCAACUUCGAUUAGUGGCUCAUUUCAACAGUUGGAAACAAUGGGAAGCAAGGAACUUAGAUCACAUGCAUCUGAGGUGAUAUUUUACUACCUGAACAUGGUGACUUUGAUCCUGGAGGCAAGGCCAAACUGAUGCUUAACAAGGCAUCAAAAUGGCAAUGCCAUGGAGCGGAGGUACAACAAGUUUCAUCUUCUUGGCUGUCAGCCACUCUUUUUACUCACAUUCCAAACAUUACUUCAACCUUUUACUCACAUUCCAAACAUUACAUAAACCUAUUAUAAAAACUAAAUUACAACCAAAACACCUUAAGAUAAACAUUAAAAAAAAAUCUUG